rnacentral:rRNA from 1 species
UACGUAGGGUGCGAGCGUUGUCCGGAAUUAUUGGGCGUAAAGAGCUCGUAGGCGGCUUGUCACGUCGGGUGUGAAAGCCCGGGGCUUAACCCCGGGUCUGCAUUCGAUACGGGCUAGCUAGAGUGUGGUAGGGGAGAUCGGAAUUCCUGGUGUAGCGGUGAAAUGCGCAGAUAUCAGGAGGAACACCGGUGGCGAAGGCGGAUCUCUGGGCCAUUACUGACGCUGAGGCACGAAAGCGUGGGGAGCAAACAGG